CUGAUCAUUAUCAAGCCUACAGAUAUUCUGAACCCUUGAUUCAGAAAUAUAAAUUUAUUUGUUGAGUACCUAUCUACUAGAACUUGGAAAACAGUCAACUAUAAAGUAUACAAUAUUAUACAUGGGUACCUACCAAUAAUAGAACAUUGACGAACCAACAGAAAUAGUAUUCAUAUAUUGUAUGUGGCCAGUAUCUUUCAUGGACUUCAAUAUUAAAAUCGUAAAUACGUAAGUACUCAUGAUUUUUUUUUUG